UAUUAUUAUUGAACGCAGGUGGAU
rnacentral:piRNA from 1 species